rnacentral:rRNA from 1 species
GAUGAACGCUGGCGGCGUGCCUAAUACAUGCAAGUCGAGCGAACGGACGAGAAGCUUGCUUCUCUGAUGUUAGCGGCGGACGGGUGAGUAACACGUGGAUAACCUACCUAUAAGACUGGGAUAACUUCGGGAAACCGGAGCUAAUACCGGAUAAUAUUUUGAACCGCAUGGUUCAAAAGUGAAAGACGGUCUUGCUGUCACUUAUAGAUGGAUCCGCGCUGCAUUAGCUAGUUGGUAAGGUAACGGCUUACCAAGGCAACGAUGCAUAGCCGACCUGAGAGGGUGAGCGGCCACACUGGAACUGAGACACGGUCCAGACUCCUACGGGAGGGAGCAGUAGGGAAUCUUCCGCAAUGGGCGAAAGCCUGACGGAGCAACGCCGCGUGAGUGAUGAAGGUCUUCGGAUCGUAAAACUCUGUUAUUAGGGAAGAACAUAUGUGUAAGUAACUGUGCACAUCUUGACGGUACCUAAUCAGAAAGCCACGGCUAACUACGUG